GGCGGCGACAACGACGGCGGUGACAACGACGGCGGCGGUGACGGGCGCCGCGCCGGGGGAAUUUGAUCAUCACUGCCCUUGGGUGAACAACUGUAUUGGUCGCAGGAACUACAGAUACUUCUUCCUUUUCCUCCUUUCCCUGACAGCCCACAUCAUGGGUGUGUUUGGCUUUGGCCUCCUUUAUGUCCUCUGUCACAUAGAGGAACUCUCAGGGGUCCGAACUGCUGUCACAAUGGCAGUGAUGUGUGUGGCUGGCUUGUUUUUCAUCCCUGUAGCUGGCCUCACAGGAUUUCAUGUGGUGCU
rnacentral:lncRNA from 1 species